GGAGUGUGCUUAGAGCAGGGGCCUGAAAUGGCUCGUCUGCUUACAACACAGCCAACAGGACAUCUGGGUUCAUAUGACAAAAGGCACAAAACUUGUGGCCUUCUUGUGAACAAACACCAGCACAU